CUUCCCGCCAGCGUUCGUCCCGGCCCCGCAGCUUCCUGCGCCGGAGCGGCCCAGAGGCAGAGGCCUGAGCUGGAGCACACGCCAGGAGGGCUAAGGUUCCCGGGAGAGGGGUCGAGAAGGCAGCAGGGUCCUCCCGCCGCUGAGGUUUGGCCUCGGGAGCAGCAGAUGGUCGGCGGGAGCUCAACCCGAAACGCAGAAGGGGCAAGGGAAGCGAUUUUUUCCUCACAUCCGGCAAUGACUUCAAAUAAGACGAAAAGAAGGCCCGCAGAGGCUUCACGCUGUGAGAGAGGGGAGGGCAAAGGUGAGAAGAGCCUCCUUUAUAAAAUCCUAAAGUAGGAGCCGUGGCAUUCAGGACAGCUCUGGGCCACCCCUUUCAUCCUUUGGGCAUUUAUUGGGGCAUGGGAGUCAGUGGGAACAGCUGACACCCCGCCUGGGCUCCGGCUGCGCUUCCACCUGGGGGAUAAGAGGAGACACACCAAAUCCACAGAUUUACAACCAGUUCCAGUUGUAAUAAGUACUAUGACUCAUUUAUGUUUGUGGGGACCUUAAGGCGUUUUGUAAAGCUGGGUUGAGCAUCUGCCAAGAUGAGCUUUAUUCUGACUGCGAUUUCCAACACGCCUAAGAGCCUUCACCGACGCGCCCACAAUCUGCCAGCCCUGAGUGAGGCAUCUGGAAGUCGGGGCCUGGGGUGGACGUCAGCCCCUCCCUGAUGUCAGGCCCCUGAGCUCCCUGCGUGCCCACCCUGUGUGGACAGGGUGGAGCUGAGCCCCCUGUGUGCCCACGCUGUGUGGACAGGGUGGAGCUGCCUUCUGAGGACACCCUCAAUGCCAUUAUUGAGCACUUCAGUGUGACGUGGAGCUUGUUUCCAAAGACAGAAUGUAG
rnacentral:lncRNA from 1 species